rnacentral:rRNA from 1 species
UACGGGGGGGGCAAGCGUUGUUCGGAAUUACUGGGCGUAAAGAGCGCGUAGGCGGAAAUUUAAGCGUGGCCUGAAAGCCCCCGGCUCAACCGGGGAGUGCGGCUGCGAACUGGGUUUCUUGAGGACGAUAGAGGAGAGUGGAAUUCCUGGUGUAGCGGUGAAAUGCGUAGAUAUCGGGAGGAACACCAGUGGCGAAGGCGGCAUCCUGGACCAACACUGACACUGAGGAGCGAAAGCCAGGGGAGCAAACGGG